rnacentral:rRNA from 1 species
GAUGAACGCUAGCUAUAGGCUUAACACAUGCAAGUCGAGGGGAAACGGCAUUAUGUGCUUGCACAUUUUGGACGUCGACCGGCGCACGGGUGAGUAUCGCGUAUCCAACCUGCCCUUUACUUGGGGAUACCCCGUUGAAAGACGGCCUAAUACCCGAUAUUGUUCAUUGAUGGCAUCAGAUAUGAAUAAAAGAUUUAUCGGUAAAGGAUGGGGAUGCGUCUGAUUAGCUUGUUGGUGAGGUAAUGGCUCACCAAGGCGACGAUCAGUAGGGGUUCUGAGAGGAAGGUCCCCCACAUUGGAACUGAGACACGGUCCAAACUCCUACGGGAGGCAGCAGUGAGGAAUAUUGGUCAAUGGGCGCAAGCCUGAACCAGCCAAGUAGCGUGCAGGAAGACGGCCCUAUGGGUUGUAAACUGCUUUUAUACGAGAAUAAUUUGAUGCACGUGUGCGUUAUUGCAUGUAUCGUAUGAAUAAGGACCGGCUAA